rnacentral:rRNA from 1 species
UCUGAUGGCGACCGGCGUACGGGUGAGUAACGCGUAUCCAACCUGCCCUUUACUAUGGGACAGCCCGUCGAAAGGCGGAUUAAUACCGUAUGUUGUCAUGUUGAUGCAUAUUUUCAUGACCAAAGGCUUCGGCCGGUAAAGGAUGGGGAUGCGUCUGAUUAGCUUGCCGGCGGGGUAACGGCCCACCGGGGCGACGAUCAGUAGGGGUUCUGAGAGGAAGGUCCCCCACGUUGGAACUGAGACACGGUCCAAACUCCUACGGAAGGCAGCAG